rnacentral:rRNA from 1 species
UACGAAGGGGGCUAGCGUUGCUCGGAAUGACUGGGCGUAAAGGGCGCGUAGGCGGCUUGCACCGUCAGAUGUGAAAUUCCUGGGCUUAACCUGGGGGCUGCAUUUGAUACGUGUGGGCUUGAGUGCGGAAGAGGGUCGUGGAAUUCCCAGUGUAGAGGUGAAAUUCGUAGAUAUUGGGAAGAACACCUGAGGCGAAGGCGGGUUGCUGGGCUGAUACUGACGCUGAGGCGCGAAAGCCAGGGGAGCAAACGGG